rnacentral:rRNA from 1 species
UACGUAGGGACCAAGCGUUGUUCGGAUUUACUGGGCGUAAAGGGCGCGUAGGCGGCAAUUCAAGUCAGCUGUGAAAUCUCCGGGCUUAACUCGGAACGGUCAGCUGAUACUGCUUUGCUAGAGUGCAGAAGGGGCAAUCGGAAUUCUUGGUGUAGCGGUGAAAUACGUAGAUAUCAAGAGGAACACCUGAGGUGAAGACGGGUUGCUGGGCUGACACUGACGCUGAGGCGCGAAAGCUAGGGUAGCAAACGGG